CGUGAACAGAUUUUCCUUCCUUCAGUCUAGCUGACCUACCACAAGCAGAAACCACAGUCACCUUGGUCGUAUCAUUACCUUUAAACCCCAUCCCAACCAUUUGCCGAAAGAGCUUUAACCCCAUCCCAACCAUAGAAUUCCAAGACACCAAAUACCUCACUGAAAAGCAUAGGACUUUAUAACAAUAUUUAUACAAAAAGUAUCGGGUAAAGAAAUACAUCGAAAAAUCAAUAGAGUGUAAUCGAGGUCACCGAAAUCUGCAAAAAGCUUCAAAAUUCGGCCGGCGAAAGAUGGGUUUUGGAAGAGAGCAGACGUGAGCAGACGAGCUUGGAUUUGGAACAGUUGGGCCAUGUUUUGACAUGUUUUGAGGAGGUUUAGGGUAUGGUGGACAGAGACGGUAUUAGGAUCCAAAUUAAAAUAGGAAGACGAAGAAGAAAAGAAGAACGGUAAUGAUGAACAAGAGAGGAAACUAAAAGUUAGAUCCUGUACCUGAAAAAUCCCAAUAUUCUGUGCAACGAACCGACUGUCGAUCGGUGUUAAAGUGUGCCAUCCGCUUGUCUUUGCCAUGGAUCUAGAGAUUUGAGAGUUACAGGAAAACCCUAGCUUUUGUUUUCCACAUGGAACGAGAGAGAUGAGAGACGAAGACACUCGGUUUUUAAGUUUACAUUUAACCGUCUUUUUUUUAGCUCCGUAUUUU
rnacentral:lncRNA from 1 species